AGGUGCUGACGAGUGGCGAACGGGUGAGUAAUGCAUCGGAACGUGCCCAGUCGUGGGGGAUAACGCAGCGAAAGCUGCGCUAAUACCGCAUACGAUCUAAGGAUGAAAGCGGGGGACCGUAAGGCCUCGCGCGAUUGGAGCGGCCGAUGUCAGAUUAGGUAGUUGGUGGGGUAAAGGCUCACCAAGCCGACGAUCUGUAGCUGGUCUGAGAGGACGACCAGCCACACUGGAACUGAGACACGGUCCAGACUCCUACGGGAGGCAGCAGUGGGGAAUUUUGGACAAUGGGCGCAAGCCUGAUCCAGCAAUGCCGCGUGCAGGAAGAAGGCCUUCGGGUUGUAAACUGCUUUUGUACGGAACGAAACGGCGAGCUCUAAUACAGUUUGCUAAUGACGGUACCGUAAGAAUAAGCACCGGCUAACUACGUGCCAGCAGCCGCGGUAAUACGUAGGGUGCAAGCGUUAAUCGGAAUUACUGGGCGUAAAGCGUGCGCAGGCGGUUUUGUAAGACAGUCGUGAAAUCCCCGGGCUCAACCUGGGAAUUGCGAUUGUGACUGCAAAGCUGGAGUGCGGCAGAGGGGGAUGGAAUUCCGCGUGUAGCAGUGAAAUGCGUAGAUAUGCGGAGGAACACCGAUGGCGAAGGCAAUCCCCUGGGCCUGCACUGACGCUCAUGCACGAAAGCGUGGGGAGCAAACAGGAUU
rnacentral:rRNA from 1 species